rfam:Microgenomates (Woesebacteria) bacterium GW2011_GWB1_43_14 TV74_C0006, whole genome shotgun sequence.
UGCGGGAUCGUCUAACGGUAGGACAGGCGCCUUUGGAGCGUCGAAUCUUGGUUCGAAUCCAAGUCCCGCAG